rnacentral:rRNA from 1 species
UGAGGAAUAUUGGUCAAUGGGCGCGAGCCUGAACCAGCCAAGUAGCGUGAAGGAUGAAGGUCCUAUGGAUUGUAAACUUCUUUUAUAGCAGAAUAAAGUGACCCACGUGUGGGUUUUUGUAUGUAUGCUAUGAAUAAGGAUCGGCUAACUCCGUGCCAGCAGCCGCGGUAAUACGGAGGAUCCGAGCGUUAUCCGGAUUUAUUGGGUUUAAAGGGUGCGUAGGCAGAAAGAUAAGUCAGCCUGUGAAAGUUUGCGGCUCAACCGUAAAAUUGCAGUUGAUACUGUUUUUCUUGAGUGUACAUAAGGUAGGCGGAAUUCGUGGUGUAGCGGUGAAAUGCUUAGAUAUCACGAAGAACUCCGAUUGCGAAGGCAGCUUACCGGGGUACAACUGACGCUGAUGCACGAAAGUGUGGGUAUCAAACA